GAUGAACGCUGGCGGCGUGCCUAAUACAUGCAAGUCGAGCGAACAGACGAGGAGCUUGCUCCUCUGACGUUAGCGGCGGACGGGUGAGUAACACGUGGAUAACCUACCUAUAAGACUGGGAUAACUUCGGGAAACCGGAGCUAAUACCGGAUAAUAAUUUGAACCGCAUGGUUCAAUGGUGAAAGACGGUUUUGCUGUAACUUAUAGAUGGAUCCGCGCCGCAUUAGCUAGUUGGUAAGGUAACGGCUUACCAAGGCAACGAUGCGUAGCCGACCUGAGAGGGUGAUCGGCCACACUGGAACUGAGACACGGUCCAGACUCCUACGGGAGGCAGCAGUAGGGAAUCUUCCGCAAUGGGCGAAAGCCUGACGGAGCAACGCCGCGUGAGUGAUGAAGGUCUUCGGAUCGUAAAACUCUGUUAUUAGGGAAGAACAAAUGUGUAAGUAACUAUGCACGUCUUGACGGUACCUAAUCAGAAAGCCACGGCUAACUACGUG
rnacentral:rRNA from 1 species